ACAUGCCAACUAUCCCGAUUUUUGCGGGAUUCUCCCGAUUUCACGUCAUCAAAAAUACAAAUCCCGAUAUCCCGAUCGGGAUUGUCAAAAUACCUCGAAAUCCCGAUUCUCAAAAAGUCCAACCCGUUUUACGACAAUAAGUCCCGAUUUCCAUCUAAAAUUUCAAAUCCCGCGCUGCUUGUCUACGCUAACCAAUCAAAAAGCGGGAUUAUGACCGCCAUUGCUGUUUACCUGUAUCGCGUGUGUGUAUAUCGGUGUAAUUACCUGUACGCUACCUGUGUCUGGGUGCUUGCAAACCUAAUGGGGAGCAUGUUUUGAUAGUAAUUAAUCGGGAAGUAUCGGGAUGGAUAGCGAAAUGCCACACUUUUUACACAAACUUCGACAAGAAUGGGGUUACACCACCAAAGAAAACGAAACUUUCAUCCCAAUAUCGGGAGGCAGAUUCCCGAUUUUCGUGAUGACUAUCGGGAUUGUAAUUGGAUGACAACCAUGUAUAUUGCCGUGCAAUAGGGAUUUUAGGGUAGACCAUGGUGGAAUGAAUGAUGUUACAAAGAACACGAAAAACAGCCAUUCAUCAAGCCACCUGCUGCUACCAACUUGUUUGUGAAAUCAAAAUUGGAGUAAGAUGAAGAUGUCACAAGAGCAGAGGUCCUGUUUGCCAACUGCGUUGCAGAAUUUAGUGCUUUUUGAACUGCUAUACCAUACUAUUUAUUGUUUGUGGAGAUUUCAAAGAUUGAUUUAAUAUAUGAAAAUAAAGUUAUGAACUUUAUUUAUGAUUUCAUUUGAAAGAGGAGAUUGUUUGAUAAACACAUUAGGAUAAUGAUAAAUAGAUAAAGAAACAGAUGAAUUUCUAAGAGUUCAAUUGUUUAUACAAAGCAAUUACACAACAAAAUGCCGCGAAAUUUCCUUCAAGGAAAAUGUCGUCGCGCGUAAAAUCCCCCAUGGAGAUUUUCAAAAGUUGGCAUGUAUGGCUCUAAUAUAUUCUGUUUGUCUGCAAAACAGUUUUUCCUAUUUCACUGAAAAAAUACAAAAAAAUUCGUAUAAAAUAACUGAAAGCCGAUAUUGAUCUCUGUUUUGUGGAAUCAUGUUUCAAAAAAGAUUCUCUAUCGAUCCAUAAAAUAAAAUUUUGGUGUGUCGAGGAACCUUAAUUAGACAAUUUUCAAAAAAUGACUUUUAGGUAGGUGGCUAGACAAUGCUAUCGUUCACAGUCCUUUAUAAAUCAUUCACUCACACACCCGUACAUUUCAUUAUUCACUUUAUUUCAUUGUUUAUUAGUUAUUUCAUUGUUUAUUAGUAAUGGAUCAUAUUUGACUUGUAUUGGUGAUCUGUCCAUGGUCGUGUAUUUUGGUGUGAUGGUUACCAUAUAUGGUGAUAACUAUAUUAUGUCUAUAUUUGGAAGUUAAUGGUUAAACAAUUUCUAUACAUGUGUGGAUUAGUCAGUGUGCAAGUCUGCUUUUAACAUCUUGUUUGUUUUGCACAAUGAUUUAAAAAAUUACAACUUGUUUGCCUGUAGUAAUACUGUCUAAUUAAUUAAAAUCAACACAGCUGUUUCAAAUUUUUUUUAUCAUUCGAAGGGAAAUAUGGUCAUCUUGUCAUAGUAGACGUAAUUGUCUUUAAUUGUGACAUCAUUAAAAAGUUUUACACAAAAUUGAAUGUUUUCUAUUCUAUAGGUUCAUACAAUGAAGCA